CCAGACUUCCUUCUGAAAGCUCUGUGCUAGCAAUGUGUUGUGUAUGCACACAGGCUAGAAGCCAGAGUGCUCUCCAAAUUGUUAAACCUCUUUAGGUAAGAUCAUUCGUCAAUUCGUCACUCAUCGGUGGUGCCUGUCUCUUUUACACCAUCUCCCAGCCCA